GCAGAAACCAAAGAAGCAGAAACCUGAUUCAAUAUCAAUAUCAACUGUUGUCUCACCAACCAUUGCAGUUCCUAUCUCUACUGCUGAUCCAAAAUCAAACCUUUCAACUGCCGCCGUUCCCAUUUCUACUGCUGAUCCUAAACCGAACCUUUCAUCUCCGACAUUUCGUGGAACUGCUGAUCCUAAACCGAACCUUUCAUCUCCGACAUUUCAUGGAGAUAGUUGGUCUCCUUUGCCGUCGGACUCGAGAAACAAGCCAACUGAUAUUAAUGUGUCUUUGCCAGCAGGUUAACUUGAUUCACCUCACCGGUGCAUUAACCAGUUCGUCACUGACGAUAAGGA
rnacentral:lncRNA from 1 species